UACGUAGGGUGCAAGCGUUGUCCGGAAUUAUUGGGCGUAAAGAGCUCGUAGGCGGUCUGUUACGUCGGCUGUGAAAACCUGGGGCUGCAACCCCGGGCCUGCAACCGAUACGGGCAGACUAGAGUUCGGCAGGGGAGACUGGAAUUCCUGGUGUAGCGGUGAAAUGCGUAGAUAUCUGGAGGAACACCGGUGGCGAAGGCGGCAUCCUGGACCGAUAUUGACGCUGAGGAGCGAAAGCCAGGGGAGCAAACGGG
rnacentral:rRNA from 1 species